AUGAUCUCUUCACUCUUACCUGAAUGCAUAAAACUAAGUUCUCAAUUAUAAGUGUGCUGGGAUGAACCUGGGAAAAUUAAGGUCUCUAGAUCUUUAGCAAUGCUUUUGUUAUUCUGACAAGCCGUUCAGACUGUCAAAAAAAUCUAGGUAAUGCAGUCCCUGAAGGAAAAUGUAUUUAUGUCAUUCCUAAGGAUGAAGAAACCUCUUAAGAAAACAGUUCCAUGGUUUGGAUCCCACUUGAUUCCCAGCAAUUCUUUUCUCCCUUAAGUGUUUUUACUAACACUAACUAUUUUAAUUAAAAAGCAUUUACUUACUGCCUUUUUUGUGCAUUCUGUGGGGAUAAGAGUGAUUAAAAAACUAUGAAUUCAAGCCAUCAGUUUUUUUAUUUACCCUUCAUGUCUGGUUUUAAUAACAAUUCUAAAUCUUAGUUUUGACAACUGCUAAAGUAAUGUUCAUAUCUGUUCUGUGUUUCCUUUUAAAAUGCUCUCAAGUCACAUGUUAGGAAAAGACCGAUCAGAUGAGAUUAACUUUUGAGUUUACAUGCCACCUCAGGUUAUAUUUAGUGCUACUGGCAAAAGAUUUUAUGGGUCUGCAGUUCUUUCAGCUUUGUUCAAGUUUUUGGCAAGAUUUUUUUUCUGUGUGUGUGAUAUUUGUUUCCUUUUGGCAAGUUUCUGACAACUUGAUGCUUUAAAAAAAUAUAUGUCUGUGAUGCGAUCUUCAAUACCUGCCUUGCACUGUUUUAUAUUUUGACACUAAAAAGUUAGCUUGUACCAGGCCUUGAGCUCAACAAAAUAUAUCUCAUAUGUGUUGCCACAUUUUAAGAGGUUGUCCUUUCUUUGGAGGGCAUUUCUAUUUGGGAUGAAUGAACCUAGAGUUACAUAUAUGAGAUACUGGAAAAAGAAGAGCUGUGGCCAUGGGAACUCAUCCUUCACCUACUCACCACCUGUCUUCAAUAAGACAGAAAGGAAAUGUUGGAACGGUUUUCAGCCUGACUGUCUCCAAAUAGGAGACUGUUGAAAAAUCAUUCUUGAAGGAGAGAAAAACCAAAUCUGAAAAAGUAGGACACAUUCAUUAAUUUUUUUCUGUCUGUUUACAUUUGAAAGCAAGCUCAUUUUUAUCGCUUUAAAGUGAUUUAAGGGGACACAAAAAUGGCUGUCUCAUCAUAGUUAACCAUUACUUCCUUAGUUUACUGUAAGUUAACAAUUUCGGGAAAUGCUAUUUCCCCCCAUUUUUCCUCUGAGCAGCUGCCUUGUAAAUAAAUGGGAGCACCUGGUCAGCAGUCAGGUUGGUUGAAGGAAAAAGAAUGUUUAGUACAUUUUCUUUGAUAUCUACUGAGGAAAAAAAAAAAAAGUGUGCUUUACUCUGUAGGAUGCAAGGAGGCAGUCCUUGACAGAAGUCUCCAAUGUAAUAUCCAUAUGGAAACCAUGGCCUUGAAAGAAUUUUUUCUCCUUUAUAAUGUUCCAGAUCUGAAUCCCUUCUGUACCCACUUUUUAGUACAUUUGCUGCCACUCCAGAGCUGAGUCACUAUAAAUAAUCUCUUCGUCUUUAAGGCUGGUUCAAACCUGGAGGAUAACAUCAGAAAAUGCCUCAUCCUUAAGGCUGAAUUAGCUCUUCAGAUUUGAGAAUAGAUGUUCUUAGCUGAGAGCUACUACAUUGUCUACCUAAAUGUCUUCUUCUUAGACAAUAGGGCACCAGGGUCAGGAUGGCUACAACCUCAAGGUGAAGACUGUUUAUUUUUGUUAAACAUCAUUUGGCAGAGAAGACUUAAAUGCUGCUCUUUUGGUAUGAUAAAACUAGUGGUGUCUAUGGAUAAAUUUUAGUACGUACAUUGUCAGAGCAUACUUAAGCAUUGUAAAGAUAUUUUGCUCAAUUCUUUAAAAAUGCAGUUUGUGGAGUUCCCAUAGUGGCUCCCUAUUUAAUGAACCCCAGGUUUGUCUGUAUUAUACCCUGAAAAUCAUUUUUUAGUGCAUUUGUCAUAUCUUUAAUUGUUUUUGUCUAGGAAUAAACUUGUUUUUUGCAUAGCCAGGAAAUAUGGUUCUCUAAAUGUCAAUUUCAGCAAUCUCAGACUAAACAAACGAAUCUAACUUUAGCAACUUGUGGCUUUCACCAUGGUCUCUUCUCUCUAUAUUUAUGAAUCUAUUAUUUAUACUCAUUCUAAGGGGGGGAUUAAGUAAUGAAAUUAAUGUUUGCUUAUUCUAGAAUGUGCUAGAAAAGGGCAGAUUUUAGCUUAGUCCCUCCUGACUCCUGAGUUCUCCUCUUAGAAGAAUUUGCACCUUAGGAUCGUGUGUGAUUCUUAAGGCUGGUAUGAAAAAAUGUUCAAAAAGUUCAGGCCUUCACAGGGAAAUGGCAGGUCCUAAUCCAAGUCUGCAUCCUCAAUUCCAAGCUUCUGUUGAAACUGCACUGGGUGACUUCCUACUGACUUUUCAGAAAACCUCAACUCCUAUACAGAGGAGUAGGAUCUAGGUCCAAUAUCUAUCCCCCUUUACCUAAGAGCACAUUUCCCUAAGGCUGAGGUAUUCUGAGAACUGGUAAAGGUGGGGUCUAGGGAGACAAGAAAAUGUAGUUAAUAGUGACUGCCAGAAUGCCACAUUCCACUGAAGAGUAGAAGAGAGUAGGCAGAUGUGAGUUCCUUUGUCUUCCAGUUGUAUAAUUUCCAAAUAUAAUUUCCUUGAAGAUCUUAUCACUAGAUUUCUUUUAGCCAAGAGAGAAUAAAGAUAAGGGAUUUACCCUCUUGCUAUUAACAAGUAAGAAAACAAGACAUAAAUAUAUGAAAAAAAUACUUUUCAGUAUACUGGACGUAAGCAAUGAAAGAUAACAAUCCUUAAAAGAUGGGCAACACAUGAAGUUAGCCCUGCUAUUGCCUCUUUUAUUACCUGAGGGUUUCUAGGCCUUGGUGCAGGGAAGAGAAAGUGAGACAGAGAAGAGUAGACUCUUUGAGUUAAGGAGAUGCUCCUGGGAGUCCAGAGAGAUUAUGGUUCACAGGGCCAAGUGUUGAAAGGAGAGAGCUACACAAAGUGAGAACCUUGGAAAUCUGCAGAGGGUCCUUCGUUAGUAUUCAGAAGAGUGCUAAUCAACACAUACAUGGGAGGAAACUACCUAAGGUCAAGGAAAAAAAUUAUUAAAAAAAAGAUUAGAGGUAAUAGAACCCAUUGUUCACACACUCCCAAGAAGAGGGCCUGAUUCUACCAGUCACACUGGAAAAGCCUCACAAGUCAGGGCAUUGAGUAAAGUAUUCAGAAUGGUCUCAGUAGUGAAGAGUAAUUAAUCAGGCCUAAAAUAAAUUAUAAAGAUAAGGACAUUAAAACAGAUUAAACUAUAUUCAAAAAGCUAAAUAGAAUAUAUUUAAAAGACUCAAACUUCUGGUGAUGAGAACCACAAUGACUGAGAUUUUAAAAUAGGGUAAACUACAGAUAAGGCAGGAAACAAAAAGAUUAAUAUAUUCAAAGACAUAACAAAAUUUAUCCAAAAGGGGGAGUUCCCAUUGUGGCUCAGAAGGUGGGGCCCUAAAAAGAAAAAAAUAAUAAAAAGAAAUGAGUUAUCUUCUUGUUCAGAUUCUUUUCCAUUAUAGGUUUUUACAAGAUACUGAAUAUAGUUCCCAGUAUACUAUUUCUUAAGACAUGUACGUUGUUUUUUAGAUAAACUGAUACUGCUCACUUAUUAGACUAAAGUGUAAUGUAAACAUAACUUUUAUAUGCAAUGAAAAACCAAAAAAUUGGUAUGACUUGCUUUAUCACAAUAUUCACUUUAUUACAAUGGUCUGCAACCAAACUCACAAUAUGUUUGGGAUCUGCCUGUAUAAUAAAAAGAAUUAUCUAAAAUAACAUGAACUCUACAAAUAAAAAUUUAUAUGUGUUAAACAUGAUUCAUCAGAUUCAAAUUAAACUCCUGAAAUUGUACUGAAAGUAGAGUUUAUUUUAUGUGUCUUUGCGUUAAAAUCAUCAGCACACAUCAGACAUUAACCCUCAGUGAAACUUAUGAUUUGGGAUUAGUUAUAUUGCUCUCUAGUGCUGCAGACACCACACCUUUUGUCUUUCCCUUGAGUGCACAGGAUCUAAGGCCUCUGAGGACAAGGUUCUUGUGUUGGCUUGCACAGUCCUCUCCUUUUUCUUUAUAUGUCUACUCUAAAAUAUGUGCCAAGAAUGGAUGGGAUACAAAUAUGUAAUUCCUAGAAAAUAAUACCUCUUUGUCAUUUUUAUUUGGCAUUGAAAUUCAUCAGUUGAAGUUCAUCAAUUGGAGAACAGUGAAAACUAAUCUUUAACAAUAAUGUUCUUCAAAUUGCAUUUUUACAGUAUUUCAGGAGCUCCAUUUGUUUUAAGAAGUCCACAUUAAGCAUUUGUAUAAUUUUAGUAUCAACUCUCUCAUAAAAUAUUAUUAACUACUAAUCUAUAUUUCUAAAACAUUUUCUUUUGGAUUUAGAGAAUUCUUUGUGUCCCUGGGAAGCUCCACUCUGGAGACAGGCCUGCGGGAAAUCUUUGUGACGAUUGGUAUAGUUUUAAGGGAUUUGUUGGGGUAGGGAGUGACUGAAAAUUGUUGGUGGGAUUGAAAACAUAUCCUUGUAAAAACCUGCACAUGGAUGUUUAUAGCAGCGUUAUUCAUAUCUGCCAAAACUUAGAAGCAGCUAAGAUGUCCUUCAACAAGUGAAUGGAUGAAUAAUCUGUGGUACAUCCAGACAAUGUAAUAUUAUCCAGUGAUAAAAAGAAACAAACUAGCAGGUCAUAAAAAGUCAUGGAGUAAACUUAAAUGCAUAUUACUAAGUGAAAGAAGGCAAUCUGAAAAUGUACAUACUGUAUGAUUUCAACUAUACAAUAAUUUGGAAAAGGCAAAACUAUAUGGAGACAGGAAAGAGAUCAGUGGGUUGACAGGGAUAAGAGAGUGGCAGGGAUGAAUAAGUAGAACACAGUGGACUUUGAGGGCAGUGAAACUCUUCUAUGUGAUACUACCAUGAUGUGAACUUAUAUUGCACAUAUGUCAAAACCCAUAAAGUGUAUGACAUCAAGAGUGAAUCUGUUGAUAGAAAGACAUCUCUCCAUUGUGGGGUAUGGGAUAUUGAUAUUGGGGGAAGCUGUGCCUCUACAGGGGAAGAGGGUAUAUGGGAACUCUGUACUCUUAGUUCCAUUUCUGCUCAGUUUUGCUGUGAAUCUAAAAUUGCUCUUUAAAAAAGCUUAUUAAUUCGAAAACUUUGUUUGUGGGCAGUGGGAAUUGAGAAGCCAUUUGACACAAGGUAACUAACAUGGUUCUUGAAUCAGACAUCAUUCGAAUCUUGACUCUACCAGUCAGUCUGAAAACUGUGAGAUUUAACGUCUCUGGGCCUCAGUUUUUUUGGGAAUAAUUAAGGUGAAUAAUACCAUAUGAAACUGAUGUGAGGGGUAACUUAGAUAACUUCCUACAUGCUCGAUAAAUAGUAGCUGUUAUUUAUAAUAUAUUUCAGAUUUGGGGCCAGGGGACUAAUCCUGCAGGCCAGCGGGAGAACAGAAGGCAGUAGAUGAAACUAUACCCUUUGAGAAGCAGUUUAUGGGAGACACGGAAAAGAUUAAAUCUGACCAGGUUCAAGUAUUUUGUGUUUUAAAAUUUUAUCUUUUACUCUAGCAGUGAUAAUGUCAGAUCUCCUUUGGUAAACUGAUGUCCUGUGAAAAUACCAUGCAUACACCCCACCCCUGAAAAAAUAUUCAAAGAUCUAACACUGGAAAUGAUACACAGAAAGUCUUUAUUUCUUGAUGGAUUUGCCCCUCCAAAUAAUGGAAACGUGACUAAUAUUU
rnacentral:lncRNA from 1 species